GAAAUGUCUCUCGGUAUGUGCAGCUUUCAAUUGGUUCAGUAAGAAGAGAUACUGAAAGAACAAAAGUGUCUCUUUGCAGCCAUACAUUGUUUUGAAUGUUUCACCUUCUGGAUUUGGAGAGUUGGUACUAGGGUUUUGGAUGCUCCCAUCCCCAGGGUUUGUUGCCUGGAAACUAGCCAAGGAUCUGAUGACAAAGCGACAAUCAUGGCUUCAUCCUCUGGAGAAACUGGCGGCCAGCUUCCAAAAUGGAUACUUCGAAACAAGUUAUGAUGUUAAGUCAACCAUCACACUCGUUCUUGGAUCAGUUGUUUCGGAGGAAGCCAGUUCUGUGGAGAUGCCUUCCUGUCAGCAGCCAGCACCAGCUGCCAGCCAUGUGAGUGAGCCACUUUGGAAGUGGGUCCUCCAGACCUUACAGAUGCUUCACACGCAGUCCCCUGAGAGGUUUCAAGUCAGAAUUGUCUUGCUAACGCACUCAUGAGUUCCCUGCCCAAAGAAGCUCACAUUAUG